UCCCCACUGCCACAAGACCCAAUAUCGUCCAAUUCAAAAACCAAGCAACCAUUUCAAUGAGAAAUAAACAAUGCAAUGUAGCUCCAGAUGUCAUUGUUUGCGUAGCAACUCACAAAAAAAUCCUUCCAUUAAGGGAUACAAUUGAAAAAAAAAACACUUCAGAGAAUAAAAUAUACAAAAAAAAAAAAUUCAAAAUUCCCCUGGUUCAGUGAGGCGGCAGGGUUAAUUGGAGGUAUCAUAUUAUUAUGAGAACACUCAGCUAAAAUGCAAAAUAAUAAAACAAUUAAGGAAUAUUAAAAACACCAGGUCAACUCAACUUGAACUAUCUAUCUAUACAGGUGAGAACAAGGAGGACAAUUUUCCCUUGCACAUUGCAAAUGUAUUUUGAUAUUUUUUGCGGCCUUCACAUAUAUCUCUUCUUUCCAUUCCUUUGCCCUCACCUGUCUUUUAUACAGAUGUUUCUCAUCAACACAAAAACAAUGGCUAGUAUCUAGUUAUUCAAGUUUCUUUUGCCCAUCCAAAAUAGUUGGCAAUGCAUUGACUGACAAAACACACGAUGAAAUCAUCAAACGCUUUAGUGCAGGGAAGUUUUCUGCAAUCAAAGAAGCAGUGGCAGAGCUUAUGCGCCCAAAAAGGGUUAGACUAUGAAUACGCUUGCAGAAUUUAGCAAGCCACUUAACUAUUGUAUCAUUGCAGCACACUUCUUCCAAAUUUCUCCAGGGUAGAAGUGCCCCCACAACAAAAAAUUGGUCGAUGCUAGUAGUAGGAAAUGAGAUACUUCUUACCAAAGGCAACCUGCAAUAGUAAUAUUGUCCAUCAACAAACAUAUAUACAUGGAAGAAAUCAGCGGGUAAUUCGCCAAACAAAACCUUGGUGUAAUGGUUUUGAGGUCGAAAAGGACCAAGCGCCAAGUGGAGA